rnacentral:rRNA from 1 species
UACGGGGGGGUGCGAGCGUUGUCCGGAAUCACUGGGCGUAAAGGGCGCGUAGGUGGUUUGAUAAGGGUGUGGUGAAAGUCCGGAGCUCAACUCCGGAUCUGCCGUGCCGACUGUCAAACUCGAGGGCUGUAGAGGCAGACGGAAUUCCUGGUGUAGCGGUGAAAUGCGCAGAUAUCCGGAGGAACACCAGUGGCGAAGGCGGCCCUUCUGGGAUGAUCCUGACGCUCAGACACGAAAGCUAGG